rnacentral:tRNA from 1 species
GCCGAGGUGGCGGAACUGGUAGACGCGCUGUCUUGAGGGGGCAGUGGGCCCCGUGCCUGUGCGGGUUCGAGUCCCGCCCUCGGCA